UAAAUAAAAUUAAAUUUAAAAUAUAUAAUAUAAAAAAUUAAAUCAUAAAAUCUUAAAAAUCAAAAAAAUAUUAUUAAAUACUUAAAUAUUAAUUUAAAAAUAAAACACAAUUUUUUUGUAAUUAAAUGUUAAUGGAAUCAUAUGCAGCUUUCUAUAAAUUUUUGCUCUAAUUAAUAAAAAACAAAAUAAAAAAACACCCUCUAUAAUUUUCUAAAGCCGCUAAUAAAACGUGUCUGUCUAUAAAUAUUCAUCUCAACUACCAGCAAAAUAAAUCUAAUAUUUGCAACAGCUAUCAAUAAAAAAACUAAAAUUUUCCAAAUAAAUUAUUAAAUAUUGCACUAAAUUUAAUAAAAACAUAAUCAAACAACAAUACAAAUUUUUACAAAAAAAAAUUUAUAAAUAAACCAAAAA